rnacentral:rRNA from 1 species
UCGAUGAAGAACGCAGCGAAAUGCGAUAAGUAAUGUGAAUUGCAGAAUUCAGUGAAUCAUCGAAUCUUUGAACGCACCUUGCGCCCUUUGGUAUUCCGAAGGGCAUGCCUGUUUGAGUGUCAUUAAAUUCUCAACCUUGAACCAGUUUUGCGACUGGGUCAAGGCUUGGAUGUGAGGGCUUUGCUGGCUUCCUUCAGUGGAUGGUCUGCUCCCUUUAAAUGCAUUAGUGGGAUCCUUUGUGGACGGUCACUUGGUGUGAUAAUUAUCUACGCCUUGUUGACUGUGAAGCAAAACUUAUGGGACCCUGCUUAUAACCGUCCUUCGGGACAAUUUAUUGACCAUUUGACCUCAAAUCAGGUAGGACUACCCGCUGAACUUAA